AAACAAGAUGCAGGACCCCAACGCAGACACUGAGUGGAAUGACAUCUUACGCAAAAAGGGUAUCUUACCCCCCAAGGAAAGUCUGAAAGAACUGGAAGAGGAGUCAGAUGAGGAGCAGCACAUCCUCCAGCAGUCAGUGGUGAAAACAUAUGAAGAUAUGACUUUGGAAGAGCUGGAGGAUCAUGAAGAUGAGUUUAAUGAGGAGGAUGAACAUGCUAUUGAAAUGUACAGAUGGCAGAGACUGGCUGAGUGGAAAGCAACUAAACUGAAGAAUAAAUUUGGAGAAGUUUUAGAGAUCUCAGGGAAGGAUUAUGUUCAAGAAGUUACCAAAGCUGGCGAGGGUUUGUGGGUCGUCUUGCACCUUUACAAACAAGGAAUUCCCCUGUGUGCCCUGAUAAAUCAGCACCUCAGUGGACUUGCCAGGAGGUUUCCUGAUGUCAAAUUUAUCAAAGCCAUUUCAACAACCUGCAUACCCAAUUAUCCGGAUAGGAAUCUGCCCACGAUAUUUGUUUAUCAAGGCUCAGUUUAUUGGUCCUCUGGUGUUUGGCGGCAUGAACCUGACAAGAGAUGAAUUGGAAUGGAAACUGUCUGAAUCUGGAGCAAUUAUGACGGACCUGGAGGAAAACCCCAAGAAGCCGAUUGAAGACGUGUUGCUGUCCUCAGUGCGGCGCUCUGAAAGGUUCCAGUUUACUGCCAUAUUUGAUGAGUUUAAUGAGGAGGAUGAACAUGCUAUUGAAAUGUACAGAUGGCAGAGACUGGCUGAGUGGAAAGCAACUAAACUGAAGAAUAAAUUUGGAGAAGUUUUAGAGAUCUCAGGGAAGGAUUAUGUUCAAGAAGUUACCAAAGCUGGCGAGGGUUUGUGGGUCGUCUUGCACCUUUACAAACAAGGAAUUCCCCUGUGUGCCCUGAUAAAUCAGCACCUCAGUGGACUUGCCAGGAAGUUUCCUGAUGUCAAAUUUAUCAAAGCCAUUUCAACAACCUGCAUACCCAAUUAUCCGGAUAGGAAUCUGCCCACGAUAUUUGUUUAUCAAGGCUCAGUUUAUUGGUCCUCUGGUGUUUGGCGGCAUGAACCUGACAAGAGAUGAAUUGGAAUGGAAACUGUCUGAAUCUGGAGCAAUUAUGACGGACCUGGAGGAAAACCCCAAGAAGCCGAUUGAAGACGUGUUGCUGUCCUCAGUGCGGCGCUCUGAAAGGUUCCAGUUUACUGCCAUAUUUGGUUAA